rnacentral:rRNA from 1 species
GACGAACGCUGGCGGCGUGCUUAACACAUGCAAGUCGUACGGUAAGGCCCUUUCGGGGGUCCACGAGUGGCGAACGGGUGAGUAACACGUGAGUAACCUGCCCACAACUUUGGGAUAACGCUAGGAAACUGGUGCUAAUACUGGAUAUGUGCUCCUGCUGCAUGGUGGGGGUUGGAAAGCUCCGGCGGUUAUGGAUGGACUCGCGGCCUAUCAGCUUGUUGGUGGGGUAGUGGCCUACCAAGGCGGCGACGGGUAGCCGGCCUGAGAGGGUGACCGGCCACAUUGGGACUGAGAUACGGCCCAGACUCCUACGGGAGGCAGCAGUGGGGAAGAUUGCACAAUGGGCGCAAGCCUGAUGCAGCAACGCCGCGGGCGGGAUGACGGCCUUCGGGUUGUAAACCGCUUUCAGCAGGGACGAAGCUUUUUGUGACGGUACCUGCAGAAGAAGCACCGGCUAACUACGUG